UGCGAGGCUCCUGCCCAUUUGGGGGAAAUGGAUUUUAGAAAUUUCAGAAAGAAAACUCAAUCCAAAUCUAGAUGUAAAGGCGCUGUGGUUGUCAAGCUUCGAGAGCCAUUUAUGUCGUGUAGGAACAGUGACCUCGGUGGGGUGAAGCCAACAUCAGGUGGGUACAGUGACCUCAAGGGGCGAAGCCAAGAGUGAGGUUCUAAAGAAACAGAUGAAAGAGAGUUCUGACACUGGAUGAGGGAUGGCAGAGCUCCUGGGGAAGUGACAGUGGCUCCUCAGCUGGACAUUUUGGAACCUUAGAUUCCCUCAGACAGUGGCUUCUACUCCUCCAUGUUUGGGCAGAGAGUUGGAUACUAAGAUACCCAAACCUAUGCAGAGCCCACUCUGAGCGCAAGACCCUAGGCUUAGGGGCACAAUGCUCUCCCAACUAGUCCUAUGUUGCUACGAGGGACAUCGAAUCCCACAGUAAAGGCAAGGCUCAGGCCCUGGAUCAGAGCCUGGGCACAUGGCUCCACCAGGUAGGUCCCAUGAUAUUAAGGUGGGUGAAUAGAGGCCCCAGAAAAGAAUGAGCUUCUUCAAGAUUUGAACAGCGUCCCCAUUCCAUUCUCUCUGUCCCCCAAAAGCCCUUCUUCUUGCUGGCCCAAAGUAUUGUUCCCUUCUAGAAAAAAGAGGAGGGGUGUGGGCUGCGACAUAUCUUGGGGCCACAAUGGACUUGUACAUACAAUGACCAGCCCUAAGGGCACGUGGCAUCAUUCUGCUUGCUUGCUUAUCAUUGUUUGCUGUCUGAACGGCCUGGAGGUCUGAGGAAGUCCUACUAGGCUCCGGGUGAGUUCUAGCUUCUGUCUCCAAGCUUUUAAAAAGGAAACGAAUGAAUUCCAGUGUAGGGCCCUCAGAUCUACUCCCUGGUGUAGAGAACUCUCUGGAAGGAGUUGAGAGACAGUGGGCUCUCCCACUUCUGGCCCCCUCAUUUGCCCAGUUGAAAAGAAAUCCCAACAUUGCUUCCGUCUCCCAGAUCACGGGAUGCGUGAGCCUUGGAGUCAGACUGGGACUGAUUAUUUUUCGAACACACAACUAGGAUAGCACCCCUGUCUUUUGUGGGGGCACUGUGCAGCUGCGAGGCUCGGCGCUCGCAGUCUUAAGAUGGGAGUAUCGGGCCCCAUCCCAGCCACGGGGAUCCAGGAAAGACACAGAGCAUAGUGAGCUUCCCCCUGCCCCCUGUGUGCUAGGGAAGGUCUGUGCCCAGGGACCAGGCUGAGCUCCUCCCAUCAGGUGGGUCCAUCUUCUGUUCUCGGCCAAGGCGAGCGUUGCCUGGACUCCACCAGCACCCGCGUUCAUGUACCUCCGCCUCAUUCCCGAUGCCUUCCGGACCUCGGCGUCCCCACCUCCGUUACAUGCCCUCGGCUCGGAAAGGAACCUUUACUAUGUGACUGGGCACCUAGCCCGCGUAAGGACACGCAGGAUGAGGUGGAUAGGAGACGAGAGGUGAGGACGGAGGGGAGGGUCUGCAGACCGCAGCAGACUGCGAGACGCCAGGGCCUCGUGGCACCAGCGGAAAGGUGCUGACGCGGGAUAUGCAGCCGCGUCCGCAGCCCGGUGGGUCGAAGCGCGCGGAGUCCGGGACCCAUAGUGGGAGGCAGGACCAAGAAACCAGAGCGCCCGUCGCAGGGAAGGAGUCACUUCCCGCAUGGCAGGACGCGUGAGAAGAAGGAUCACGGCCACUGGGGAGAGUCGAGCGGGAGAAUAACGUCGCUGUGUCCCGGGCGAACCAAGAGAACCAGCAGGCGGAGGGCGGGGAAGGGAGACAUUCCAGGGCGAGCGCAGAACCAUGGCUAGCAGGCGUCUGGAUCCGCAGAGGUGGUGCCCCUGCAAUCCCGGAUCACGCAGAGCCCACGGGUGCUUGGUCUGUUUAGCGGUCUCCAGCCCAGGGCUUCCCGGAGGUCCGGAUGCAGCCCUUCUCCAUCCACCCUUCGCGAGUGUCGCCUGUGGGCCCCGAGCCUCCUUCCCGCAUUCUGCGCCGCAGAUCCCCGGUGCUCCAGAAACAGAAGACCUAGAUCCCAGACCAGAAAGGCGGCCGCAGGGCACUACCCCACACUGUGUUGCAAGGUCGCGACCUUUAAGCCCUUUUGCCCCCUCCAAGGCGCCCGGACCCCGGGUGAGGAGUCCGGUGCGGUCACCGUGACCAGAGUGAGAGGGAUGAAACCCCGGAAAGCGGCGUGGGGAGAAAAGGGGGUUGUUUGAGACCAAAAUAGUUGUAAAGCUAAGUAUGUGAGCUUUAACGGUCAAGUUCUAGCUAAGCCGCGAGGAUGCACAGCUUUUUAAAAGCCGAGUUUUAAGUGAACCCAGGUGAGACUCAGAUUGGGUGAAAAUAAAAUUGGAACGUACUGCAGCUUCUCGGGUGGAAAGUCACCCUU